GCCGAGCACAGUGACAUGCACCUGUAGUCUCAGCUACUCGAGAGGCUCAGGCGAGAGGAUCACUUGAGCCCAGGAGUUCUGGGCUGUAGUGCGCUCUGCUGGUCAGGUGUCUGCACUAAGUUCAGCAACAAUAUGGUGACCUCCCAGGAGUAAGGGACCACUGGGUUGCCUAAGGAGAGGUGAACCAGCCCAAGUUGAAAGCGAAGCAGGUCAGAAGUCCCAUGAUGAUUGCGCCUGCGAGUAGACACUGCACUCUAGCCUGGGCGACAUAGGAAGACCCUGCCUCU
rnacentral:SRP_RNA from 1 species